UACGGGGGUGGCGAGCGUUACUCGGAUUUAUUGGGUGUAAAGGGCAGGUAGGUGUUCCGCCAAGUUAGAAGUGAAAUCCUAAGGCUCAACCUUAGAACUGCUUCUAAAACUGGCGGAAUUGAGGACAGAAGAGGAAAGCGGAAUUCCCGGUGUAAGGGUGAAAUCUGUAGAGAUCGGGAGGAACACCAGUGGCGAAAGCGGCUUUCUGGUCUGUCCCUGACUCUGAACUGCGAAAGCUAGGGGAGCAAAC
rnacentral:rRNA from 1 species